rnacentral:rRNA from 1 species
GAUGAACGCUGGCGGCGUGCCUAAUACAUGCAAGUCGAACGGAGAUUGUAGCAAUACGGUCUUAGUGGCGAACGGGUGAGUAACGCGUUGGUGACCUGCCCCGAAGUGUGGGAUAACAGCCCGAAAGGGUUGCUAAUACCGCAUGUGGUUUUUCGGAUUAGAUGCCGAAUUUCUAAAGGAGAAAUUCGCUUCGGGAGGGGCCUGCGUCCCAUCAGCUAGUUGGUAGGGUAAAAGCCUACCAAGGCGAUGACGGGUAGGGGACCUGAGAGGGUGGCCCCCCACAAUGGAACUGAAACACGGUCCAUACACCUACGGGUGGCAGCAGUAGGGAAUAUUGGUUAAUGGGCGAAAGCCUGAACCAGCAACGCCGCGUGUGCGAUGACGGCCUUCGGGUUGUAAAGCACUUUUUGAGGGGAUGAGGAAGGACAGUACCCUCAGAAUAAGUCUCGGCUAACUACGUGCCAGCAGCCGCGGUAACACGUAGGAGACUAGCGUUAUUCGGAUUUAUUGGGCGUAAAGCGCGUGCAGGCGGUUCGGUAAGUUGGAUGUGAAAGCUCCUGGCUUAACUGGGGGAGGUCGUUCAAUACUACCGUACUUGAGAGUGGUAGAGGGAGUUGGAAUUCCGGGUGUAGUGGUAAAAUGCGUAGAUAUCCGGAAGAACACCAGUGGCGAAAGCGGACUCCUGGACCAUUUCUGACGCUCAGACGCGAAAGCUAGGGGAGCGAACGGGAUUAGAGACCCCGGUAGUCCUAGCUGUAAACGAUGUAGACUUGGCGUUGGAGGGGUUAAAUCCUUCAGUGCCGAAGCAAACGCGAUAAGUCUACCGCCUGGGGACUACGGCCGCAAGGUUAA